CUUACGCUAAAGGCUAUAUACCUAAGCUUGCAAAAAUGAGGCAAUCAUUACAGGCUAAACUCAAAAAAAGAUGUCCAAUGGAAAUGGGCAAAAGAGGAUAUGAUAUAUGUAGGAAAAAUUAAAAAAGAAUUAAAAGAUUUUCCUAAAUUAUGUCAUCCAGAAGAAAAUGAUUUAUUAAUCAUUGAAACUGAUGCUUCAGAUCUAUUUUGGUCAGGAGUAUUAAAGCAAAAAAUCUUCAGAGUGAAGAAUUCAUUUGUAGGUAUUGUUUAGGAAGCUUUAAAGCUGCUUAAAAGAACUACCACUCAAAUGAAAAAGAAUACCUCACGGUAUUAAAAACAAUCAAGAAAUUUAGGAUAUACUUAUCCCGGAAAAAAAUUAUUGUCAGAUGUGAUAAUAAAAUUUUUUAAUAUUUCUUGAAGACUAACAUUGCUGGAGACUACAAACAAGAAAGACUUGUUAGGUAAUAGCAAUGGUUCAACUACUACACAUUCAAUGUCGAACACAUUGAUGGUAAUAAAAAUUGCUUUGCAGAUGUUCUAACCAGAGAAUUUUCAAAUGCAAGGAUGAAUCAAGACUGAACUCCUGCGGGAUAAGCAGUCAACACUAACCCCCUUCGAGAUUAAGGGCAAUAACAAAAAGGGUAGUUCCCUUAUUCUAAUCCCCCUUUAAGGGAAAAAGGAUAGAAAAAUCCAAAGGGUAAAACCUUUGAAUAAACUAAACCGGAAUUAAUGGCAGACAAAUUACUAUGGACAUAUCCAUAGAAGAAAUCAAUCUCAGGAUUCAACUCCUGGAAAAAGAAAUCGAAUUAUUAAAAAUAAGAAGAUUGUUAAAAGAAAAGAAAACAAACUCUAAUGAAAUGCUAGAUGAAAAGAAAGAGGCUAGGCAAGAGGCCCAAAAAGAAAUUAAGAAGGCCCAAAAAGAUGUCCUCGAGACACAACAAGAAAAGGCCGAAAAAAGCGAGGCCCAAAUAAAACUAAGCCCAGGCUAUGUCAAAGGCUAGUACUACAAAGGGUCAAACCUCUAAAUCGGGUAUUCAAAGCCCAACGGGCAUUUCAGGCCCAACAACUAACAAAUACUAUGUAGUCUAUAAUGGACCCUAUGCGGGUAUCUAUACUAGCUAGACCAUGGCGGAAUAGGCUACUAAGGGAAUCAAAGGAAUUAAACAAAAAUCGUUUAAUUCUCUUGAACGUGCUUAUCAGGCAGUUGCUACUGAAGGAGCUACGAACUUAAAAUUGGUAACACCAGCCAAUUUUCUGGAACCAAGAGUUUCAUUUGCAACAACCGUUGCAAGAGAAGCUAAAAAGAAGACUUCCGUGGUAAACCUUGGAAGAUUUAGCAAAAACGAGUCUAAAAAAGAAGACAAGAUUGAGCCAAAUAUUAUUAAUUAAGGAUUUUAUUAAGAUGUUUAAUAUGGAAAAAACUAAUGGAAUUGAAGUUAUGCAAGAUCAGCAUUAUUUCACCACAGAUUUAAAGUCCAUCUCUCUUUUCAACUUCUUGCAAGGAGCAGAUGCAGAAUUAAUCUACAAAUGCUUUUGUUGUGGAUUAAUUAAGAAUAUUUAUCCAAGUCCUAAUUUAAAGGAACUUAGAUAUUUUCCAUAAAAUUUCAAGAAAACUAUUAAGAAUUUCAGAACAAAGGUUCUUAAAGCUUCUGAUAGACAAAUUUAUCUAAGUUUCAUCAGUUCUUUCAUUGACUGGGACGAGGAUAAAGAACUAGUUCCUUACUAUCAUAUUAGUAUAGGAUUAGCAAGCAACGAAGUCAAGCAUCAACCACCUAAAAUAAUGGCGGAAGAAGAGCUUCAAGAAGAAGGCUUGGACAAACUUCGAGCAAGAAUGCUUGGUAAAGUCUACCAAAGCAUCAGAAAGAUCAACAGCGAGUCCAAGAUCAAGAUAAAUUAUUGCACCAGCAACGUGAUCUUGACAUCUCACUACCCAGGCGCAAUAGAAAAAGCUAACAUUGAGAAGCUUAUCUCCUACGAGAUUCCCUUCAACAACAGGAUAAUAAAGGCAUCGCCAGCAACACGGUACUAUUAUUGCAGCAAAGGAAGAAAAUUUGGAGGAAAGGACCACUUGUGCCAAUGGUGUCCACAAAAGAAAGAAUCCAAUAAAAAAUUGGGUCCCUCCACUAAUAAAGAAGAUGCUGCGUCGACCUCAAAAAGCAAGAUGGCCGACAAAGGAAAAGAAGUGGCCCCAGCCACUAUUAAAGAAGGAGUUGCUGAUAGCUCAUAUGAUUCCUCCACUGAGGAAAGUAAGGACGUGGACGACUGAGAUCGUUCUGACAUGAACUUUAACCCUUAGCCAUAGGAUCAAAUGUAAAGGGCUCGUCCAUCCAUCUAUAAAUGGAGACCCUUAGUCCAGAACAAACCAUCUCAUUCCAACCCCAUCUCUUCUAUCCUAGAAUUCUCUCUACCAUCUCCACCUUGUAAAAAAGCCAUGCUUGGCUAAAUCAAGAAGCUCCCUCAGGGAGCCUAUGUAAUUUUUAUCUUGCUUUCAAUAAAAGGACCCCUAGUCCAGUUUAUCUUUCUUCAACACCCUUAUCUGAGUUCUUGUGAAUGUUACCCUAGAAGUUGUGCGUGGUUGCCCGUUAGAUCCCGUAAGGCGCGAGGGAGGUGCAGUAAGUGGUCGCGGAGGGUUGUUAACACCGGCUUGGGUAAGCAGAGAAGGUUAAAGAUGAAGGAGACUGUAGCAGAUCCUGAAAAUAAAGCUGUGCGUGGUUGCCCAUUAGAUCCUGUGAGGCACGAGGGAGGUGCAGUAAGUGGUCGCGGAGGGGUGUUAACACCGGCUUGGGUAAGCAGAGGAGGUUGAAGUCGAAGGAGACUGUAGCAGAUCCUAAAAGCAAAGGUCCUUUGAGUAACCGGAACUAGCGUUCUGGUGUAGGGAGCGUAGCGGCCGGUGUACUGCGGUUAGCGCUUGGGUAAGUGCUAUGACUGUGUUUGAUGGGUUGCCAGGAUGUGUUGGGCACCCAUUUGUACAUUUUCGAUAGAGCCAUGUUCUGCUCUUGUAUAGACUCUGGUAUAGUACUGCAUAUGUAUGUAUAGAAUGACCUUUUUCUGCUGUGUA